CCAAAGUGAUGUUAAAUUGCUUUGCUUGAUAUUUUCAAUGAAAGCAAAAAUAACUGAUUUAAUGAGACUGAUUG